CAGAUUGACAAAGCCGCAGCCCCCUUUCGCUUGGCAGAGCCUUUACAGCGAGACUUUAAAACAAAGAUAAUUGCACACGGUAAUAACAGUUAUACAAUAAUGAGCAAGUACAAAAUGCAACAAAACAAGAUUAUUCAAUAUUUAGACAAUACUCCCCAAAAAGAAAACAGAACCUACAUGCUAACGUACAUAGCACCCAAAGUACUGUUCGACGCAUUGAAGAGGCCAAAUUAUUGUAUACAUAAGCUAUAUACAUAUUCGUAUAGAGCUACCAAUCCCUGCAAAAUAUAGAACGCAGAUUUCCAUUACACAGACGCACGCAAGCACGCACGUGCCCAAUACACACACCAAAAGGAAACGGCGACGCGCUCAUAGGAGGCGCAUAAAAAAAAAAAGGAAAAGACUGAGGGAACCGCAGUUGUCUUGCGCGGUCGCACCUCCCUCUCCCAGAAGGAAUGAAGAGGUUCUUGGAAAGCAGCAUCAGCUCCCACCAGCGAGGACAGGGCGAGAAAGCGAAGCGGGGCUUUCUUUGCUAUCUAUUUUUUCUUCGACAAGCGCAACGCCGUCUGCUCGCAGGGGCGCAGGCGAGUUCCCGCCAAAUGGCGCGGAGGCGCAAGCAGGGACGCGAGUUGCCGCCAAAUGCUAGCUCUGGAUGCCAGCUCGUUCCGCGUCUCUUGGUAGACUAGUUGGACCAUUUCUGUUAUCAUGAACUGCGCAUAUAAACGCAAACUACACAAAAGUGACAUGGACAAGAACAGCGCAAGCCCUUUCCAUGCAGUGGAGCCGCCGUAUCUCGCCGUUCAAGAUAUGCGUACUCGAAGAAAAAAGAAAGAAAGGCGUUAUAUGAGAACGGAUCAAGCGUUCGAGAGUUGGGACAGGGAAAUGUGCGGCGUACUUUCAUGUAUAUAUUUCUAAUAAUACUUUUUCGUCUUGUAUUUUCCUUAAUUUUGCUCUAGGAAACACUGCUUAAAUUGAAGCACAGUGUGCUAAUGACCUGCUACGUUCGGAACUGUUAUCACCAUUCGGGAAGAAAUCAGACGAAAAAACAAAACUGUAAAUACCUGUACGAUAUACGUCUGGUGCAUUGCAGGUAAGAAUGGAUUGUGUGUGGCGCUUCACCGCAUGUGGACUAGAGUAGAUCUAGGAACAUCAGACAAGAAGACACGUAUGUGGGACCCUGCUGAUAGCCCAUACGUAAGUUGUGCUCCAAUUUUUCUGUUGUUGCUAUUUCGUAGUUUACGUGUAAUACUUUCUCACCGCGGUCUCGACGUUAUGUAUAGCUAUACAUUUGUCUCGUGGCAGUCUGCGUGCUAUUUUGUUUGUGCAACUAUGUGUUGUAUUCAUUUAUCGCACUGCCUGGAUGUUUCUUUUUUUUUUUGCAAUGAUAUUCUGAGCCAAGUCAGUAACUCUAUCCUUCCUGUCCUCAUGUUUCCUUGGGCGGCUCUAAAGCGUGAAUCACGUGGCAGAAGUUGAACACACUAAUUUUCACUGAAAGUGCACAGUAUAUGUUCAUUACAUGCAUGUGCUACGACAAAAUAAUUAUGUUGUGUGUGGGUAUGUCAGGAUCGGGAUUUCUCGCACACGACUGUGAAAAAAGUCCACUAUAAAUCAUCUGCAUGGUUCACAGAGUUAUUCAUUACUAUAUUAUUUGUUUGUUCGUUUGUUUCAGUUUUUAUGAGCACUGUAACUAUCCAAGCUUCACACUCGACGGUGACAGAGAAAUGCCGGAUGCUAUACCGUUCAGAGCCAAGAACAUGGGAACGGCUGAAAGAGAGCCUCCCGGGCAGUAUGGGAAACUCUCACAGCAGACCAGCUGUGUCCGUUAACUGUAUCGUACUAUUUCAGGGAACAAAGACUACUUGCAAAUUGUUAACACUGCUGCACGAAAAAAUUUAUGUAUUUGAUGAUUGCAAAAUAAGCACCUAAAAAGAGAAAA